GGAAAAGCUUCUGGAUCUCUCUUCUGGGAUGAUGGUGAUUCCAUUGAUACUAUCGAAAAGGAGAACUACUUCUUGGCUAAAUAUACAUACAGCAAAGGACACCUGAAGACAGAAAUACUUAAAAAUGGAUACAGAGGAGCUGACUCUCUGGAGUUCAAAAGAAUUACAAUCCUUGGCCUGAAACGGAGACCUUAUGUUGUUGCUCUCAAUGGAAGAGCCAUCCGCGGAUAUGCUUCCUCUUAUGAGCUGAGUGGGAAACUCACUUUAUGGAUUUCUGCCCCACUUACUCGUGAACUCAACCUCAUGAUUUUCUAGAAUGGCCAGAAAACACUGAUUAUGUCUUUUAGCAUCCUUGUCUCUCAAAUAUUGAUCUUACUUUGAUUUUCAUGUAAAAAAACAUAUUUAGCCAUUGAAACAUUACUUGUGCACCUGAUGACUG
rnacentral:lncRNA from 14 species